rnacentral:rRNA from 1 species
GCAUAACGCGAAGAACCUUACCAAGGCUUGACAUCCACAGAACCCUCUAGAAAUAGAGGGGUGCCCGAAAGGGAGCUGUGAGACAGGUGGUGUAUGGCUGUCGUCAGCUCGUGUCGUGAGGUGUUGGGUUAAGUCCCGCAACGAGCGCAACCCUCGUGGUUAGUUGCCAACAGGUCAAGCUGGGCACUCUAGCCAGACUGCCGGUGACGAACCGGAGGAAGGUGGGGACGACGUCAAGUCAUCAUGCCCCUUACGUCUUGGGCUACACACGUCCUACAAUGGCCGGAACAAAGGGCUGCAAGCUAGCGAUAGCAAGCGAAUCCCAAAAAUCCGGCCUCAGUUCAGAUUGCAGGCUGCAACUCGCCUGCAUGAAGGCGGAAUCGCUAGUAAACGCAGAUCAGCAUGCUGCGUUGAAUACGUUCCCGGGUCUUGUACACACCG